rnacentral:misc_RNA from 1 species
UCCGUAGGUGAACCUGCGGAAGGAUCAUUAACGUAUUACAGUUAAAAUGUAUGCUCUACGAAGCAUCGUCUGUUUUACUUAAUAAAAUUUAUAUAUACAUAUUUUAUUAUAUGUAAUAUAUAUAAAAAAUUUUGAACGAGCCAAACAAAAAUUAAUUUUUUUGAUUUUGGUGUACUUUAUAAAAAAAAGGUGUCUGCCGUGGUAACCUUGUAAAGGAGCAACACUGCCAUUGUGAGUCGUAUUUUGUAAGAUAUAACAAUUACGCCUUUGUGCUUAUUAAUGUUGUUCCGUGGUUUUUAAAUGAAUUUUCGCCCGGCGCCUUAAAUGGCAUCUUUAUGCUAGCGUUACGCGCGUUUGGUAUAAAUAUCAUAGAAAAAUUAAUUUUUUUCUUUAUUUAAUAUCCAGGCGUUAGCGUAUCAGCUGGCCGGUGCAUUUGUUGUUUGAAAUUUUAUAUUUCUUAUUGACAUUAAUGCACCAAACCGCUUUGAAGCAAAACAUUUUCAAAAAUUUAUUUUUUUGAAAAAUAUUUGUCUAUCAAAAACGGCUUAUCGAAUUCUGAAAAAUUAUAUAAUUUAUAUAAAUGAUUACCCUGAACGGUGGAUCACUUGGCUCGUGGGUCGAUGA